AUUCCGCUUGGGGACUGCGGUCGCGUGAUUAGAACUCAAUGGAAUUGACGGGGACCCGCACAAGCGGUGGAGCAUGUGGUUUAAUUUGAUGCAACGCGAAAAACCUUACCACUCCUUGACAUGGAAAUUAUACCUAUUCGAAGGGAUAGGGUCGGUUCGGCCGGGUUUCACACAGGUGUUGCAUGGCUGUCGUCAGCUCGUGUCGUGAGAUGUUGGGUUAAGUCCCGCAACGAGCGCAACCCUCAUCCUUAGUUACCAUCAGGUAAUGCUGGGGACUUUAAGGAAACUGCCAGUGAUAAACUGGAGGAAGGUGGGGAUGAUGUCAAGUCAUCAUGGCCCUUAUGGAGUGGGCUACACACGUGCUACAAUGGUGGCUACAAUGGGCUGCAAAGUCGCGAGGGUAAGCUAAUCCCUUAAAAGCCAUCUCAGUUCGGAUUGUACUCUGCAACUCGAGUGCAUGAAGUUGGAAUCGCUAGUAAUCGUGGAUCAGCACGCCACGGUGAAUACGUUCUCGGGUGUUGUACACACUGCCCGUCACGCCAUGGGAAUUGGUUUCACUCGAAGCUAACGACCUUUCAAUGGGGAGGGGGUUAUUUAAAGUGGGAUCGGUGACUGUUUUAAAGGGGUAACAAGGUAGCAGUAGGGGAAUCUGCG
rnacentral:rRNA from 1 species